rnacentral:rRNA from 1 species
UACGAAGGGGGCUAGCGUUGCUCGGAAUCACUGGGCGUAAAGCGCACGUAGGCGGCCCUGUAAGUCCGUUGUGAAAGUCAAAGGCUCAACCUUUGAAUGCCGAUGGAUACUGCAGGGCUAGAGUCCGGAAGAGGCAAGUGGAAUUCCUGGUGUAGCGGUGGAAUGCGCAGAUAUCAGGAGGAACACCAACGGCGAAGGCAGCUUGCUGGGACGGUACUGACGCUAAGGCGCGAAAGCGUGGGGAGCGAACAGGA